UCUCCUGACCACCAGCCCAGUCUCUAACCACUGAACCGCCUUGCCUUUGUCCAUUCUCUAGAGUUUGUGAGGAAAGCACCAAGGAGAUCGCCAAGGGUUGGAAGGGGAGGAAACUUGAAGUCAAGGAUGGUAAAGCCACGGUCUCCAGCCACCAACUUCGACUCCUGUGAGGCACUCAGGGAAGAAGCCUAACACAAAGUCCGUUCUCCAAAGACAAGCAAUUCUGUGUAGGUUUGAGAUGGCUAAUGCCUCCCCCUUCCCGAGCAUCAGUCCCUCGUGUUUUCCAGAGGCUUAGAUGAGACGGUCUCAGACUUUGCAGUACUAACACGCCAUGCUUCCAUGAACUUGUGAAUUAUGCAAAGUGAUCAGAGUUGUGAGAUGCCUGCACAGUCACACC